UGGGGAAUUUUGGACAAUGGGCGAAAGCCUGAUCCAGCAAUGCCGCGUGUGUGAAGAAGGCCUUCGGGUUGUAAAGCACUUUUGUCCGGAAAGAAAUCCUUGGCUCUAAUACAGUCGGGGGAUGACGGUACCGGAAGAAUAAGCACCGGCUAACUACGUGCCAGCAGCCGCGGUAAUACGUAGGGUGCAAGCGUUAAUCGGAAUUACUGGGCGUAAAGCGUGCGCAGGCGGUUUGCUAAGACCGAUGUGAAAUCCCCGGGCUCAACCUGGGAACUGCAUUGGUGACUGGCAGGCUAGAGUAUGGCAGAGGGGGGUUAGAAUUCCACGUGUAGCAGUGAAAUACGUAGAGAUGUGGAGGAAUACCGAUGGCGAAGGCAGCCCCCUGGGCCAAUACUGACGCUCAUGCACG
rnacentral:rRNA from 1 species